GAUGAACGCUGGCGGCGUGCCUAAUACAUGCAAGUCGAGCGAACGGACGAGAAGCUUGCUUCUCUGAUGUUAGCGGCGGACGGGUGAGUAACACGUGGAUAACCUACCUAUAAGACUGGGAUAACUUCGGGAAACCGGAGCUAAUACCGGAUAAUAUUUUGAACCGCAUGGUUCAAAAGUGAAAGACGGUCUUGCUGUCACUUAUAGAUGGAUCCGCGCUGCAUUAGCUAGUUGGUAAGGCAACGGCUUACCAAGGCAACGAUGCAUAGCCGACCUGAGAGGGUGAUCGGCCACACUGGAACUGAGACACGGUCCAGACUCCUACGGGAGGCAGCAGUAGGGAAUCUUCCGCAAUGGGCGAAAGCCUGACGGAGCAACGCCGCGUGAGUGAUGAAGGUCUUCGGAUCGUAAAACUCUGUUAUUAGGGAAGAACAUAUGUGUAAGUAACUGUGCACAUCUUGACGGUACCUAAUCAGAAAGCCACGGCUAACUACGUGCCAGCAGCCGCGGUAAUACGUAGGUGGCAAGCGUUAUCCGGAAUUAUUGGGCGUAAAGCGCGCGUAGGCGGUUUUUUAAGUCUGAUGUGAAAGCCCACGGCUCAACCGUGGAGGGUCAUUGGAAACUGGAAAACUUGAGUGCAGAAGAGGAAAGUGGAAUUCCAUGUGUAGCGGUGAAAUGCGCAGAGAUAUGGAGGAACACCAGUGGCGAAGGCGACUUUCUGGUCUGUAACUGACGCUGAUGUGCGAAAGCGUGGGGAUCAAACAGGAUUAGAUACCCUGGUAGUCCACGCCGUAAACGAUGAGUGCUAAGUGUUAGGGGGUUUCCGCCCCUUAGUGCUGCAGCUAACGCAUUAAGCACUCCGCCUGGGGAGUACGACCGCAAGGUUGAAACUCAAAGGAAUUGACGGGGACCCGCACAAGCGGUGGAGCAUGUGGUUUAAUUCGAAGCAACGCGAAGAACCUUACCAAAUCUUGACAUCCUUUGACAACUCUAGAGAUAGAGCUUUCCCCUUCGGGGGACAAAGUGACAGGUGGUGCAUGGUUGUCGUCAGCUCGUGUCGUGAGAUGUUGGGUUAAGUCCCGCAACGAGCGCAACCCUUAAGCUUAGUUGCCAUCAUUAAGUUGGGCACUCUAAGUUGACUGCCGGUGACAAACCGGAGGAAGGUGGGGAUGACGUCAAAUCAUCAUGCCCCUUAUGAUUUGGGCUACACACGUGCUACAAUGGACGAUACAAAGGGCAGCGAAACCGCGAGGUCAAGCAAAUCCCAUAAAGUUGUUCUCAGUUCGGAUUGUAGUCUGCAACUCGACUACAUGAAGCUGGAAUCGCUAGUAAUCGUAGAUCAGCAUGCUACGGUGAAUACGUUCCCGGGUCU
rnacentral:rRNA from 1 species